UACAGAGGUCUCAAGCGUUGUCCGGAAUCAUUGGGCGUAAAGGGUGCGUAGGCGGCGCGGUAAGUCGGGUGUGAAAUCUUGGAGCUUAACUCCGAAACUGCAUUCGAUACUGCCGUGCUUGAGGACUGGAGAGGAGACUGGAAUUUACGGUGUAGCGGUGAAAUGCGUAGAUAUCGUAAGGAAGACCAGUGGCGAAGGCGGGUCUCUGGACAGUUCCUGACGCUGAGGCACGAAGGCCAGGGGAGCAAACGGG
rnacentral:rRNA from 1 species